AAUAACUUACUGUCAACUUCCCUUUUUGCCAAUCGCCGACAUUUUCUUUUUACAAACAGACGCGUGUAAAAAAGUUCGAGGGACGGAAGAUUCCCGGAUCCCGAAAACCGGGAUUCUUGCCGCGGGUGGUGGAGCACGGUUGGGAUCAUAUUCGCUUAUUCGGAACUAAUUUGCCUGCUGGAGGCGGCUCAAUCCGAUGUUCAAAAACCUUCAUCGGAACUUCCAAUUAUCAAACUGUCGCCACUCAGUCAUGUUACCCAGCGGCCUAUACAGUACGGAUCAUGAUCAAAUUGGAGAGUUCGGAUCAAACUGAAAAGUCCGGAUCAAACUGAUGCUCAACCAUCCGGAAUGGAUGUCGAGGGGAGGGAGCUGAGUUGCAGAAAAUAUCCCGUCAAAUGGUUCAUUGGCAUAUGUCACACCCGGCCAACAUUAUAAUCUCUGCAACAGAGCCGGAGGAUUGUUUUUAACAUAAGGCAAAAAUCUCCAAUGCAUCAUUAGUGUCUACCGGAUUCGAUGGACGAUACGGAAGCAGCAACAGGACCAAA